rnacentral:tRNA from 2 species
GCCGAAGUGGUGGAACUGGUAGACACGCCGUCUUGAGGGGGCGGUGGCUCAACGGCCGUGCGAGUUCGAGUCUCGCCUUCGGCACCA